GACGAACGCUGGCGGCGUGCUUAACACAUGCAAGUCGAACGGAAAGGCCCUGCUUUUGUGGGGUGCUCGAGUGGCGAACGGGUGAGUAACACGUGAGUAACCUGCCCUUGACUUUGGGAUAACUUCAGGAAACUGGGGCUAAUACCGGAUAGGAGCUCCUGCUGCAUGGUGGGGGUUGGAAAGUUUCGGCGGUUGGGGAUGGACUCGCGGCUUAUCAGCUUGUUGGUGGGGUAGUGGCUUACCAAGGCUUUGACGGGUAGCCGGCCUGAGAGGGUGACCGGCCAAAUGGGGACUGAGAUACGGCCCAGACUCCAACGGGAGGCAGCAGUGGGGAAUAUUGCACAAUGGGCGGAAGCCUGAUGCAGCAACGCCGCGUGCGGGAUGACGGCCUUCGGGUUGUAAACCGCUUUCGCCUGUGACGAAGCGUGAGUGACGGUAAUGGGUAAAGAAGCACCGGCUAACUACGUG
rnacentral:rRNA from 1 species